rnacentral:rRNA from 1 species
CGAAGCAGCGAUGUGAAGCAAAUCGCACCAAAGCCGGUCCCAGUUCGGAUAAGAGGCUGAAACUCGCCUCUUUGAAGUCGGAAUCGCUAGUAAUCGCAGAUCAGCAUGUUGCGGUGAAUACGUUUCCUGGUCUUGUACACACCGCCCGUCAAACCAUGAGAGUCGCCAACACCCGAAGUCCGCUUUGCGGCCUAAGGUGGGGGAGAUGAUUGGGGUUAAGUCGUAACAAGGUAGC